rnacentral:lncRNA from 1 species
GAGUUGUUACUUGUAACUAAAGGCUACAUUCUUAUGUACAGCACCAGAAGAACCUGGUCUAUCAAAAAUCAACAACAUAUUCUAAAAACAUAUGUGAGGAAAUGAAAAACUCAAAAAGAAAAAAGGGGUAAAUGAAGAAAAAUAUGUAAAUUAAGAGAGAUUGAAACAAAGAAAGAAAUGUCCAAAAGCUCGAAACAAAUUAAUGUCAUCUCAUCUGUUAUGCAAGGGAUUAGGACCUGUGUAGAUUUUCCUUUUCUCUUCACCAAGAACUGCUUCACUACCACCUUCACCUGAAUUCUGUCUAAAACCUUGUUUGGCUUCUUGAAAAGAGCUAGGCUUUGGCAUGGACCCACUUUCAAAGUUUUGAAAUUUUGCUGACUCAUUAGUAGUAGCAGCAGUAGAGAAGCUUUGCAAUUGUAACAGCAAUAGAACCAACAAUAGGACAAAGAAACAAGCCAAACUCAUCACCCUCAUGAUGGUCUCAAAGCACAGAUCAUGAAUGAUGGAUGAUAAACAGUAACAUUAUUCUCAAAAGGGAAUAGAGAACAAAAGCCAAACGAGCUUCUAUUUUGGAUCUGAUUCAAAAGGGGUAAUUAAUCAACCAAACAAAGCCUGAAAGAGAAAGAAAGGCAACACAAAGAUCAGCUUCCUUUUUUAACCCCUUUUGGCACCCUUUUUCAUUCCAUGGUUGUUUUUGCCUGUUUUUUUUUUUUUUUUUUUAAUUGGAUGUGGUGUGUGACCUUGAUGUCUGAGCUCUGAAAAUGAGGAUAGUUAAUAAGAGGUGCGAGUCAAUAAUAUAUGCAUAGGAGUUGGUGCUUUGAGGCUGAUAAAAUGUUAUGCAGGCUUUGUAAUUUGGGUAGACAGAUUUCAGAGCCCCUUUUUUGCUU